rnacentral:lncRNA from 1 species
AGACACUGUAGAUGACCAGGGUUAGUCAUCUUAAGAAAAUGUUGUAUAAAGUAGGGGACAAGCUGGAAGGUCAAGGAGAAACUCGGUCCCAAAAGGACAAACUGGAUGUCAUGAAGACAAACUGGAACCUGCAUCUGUGAUUCCCUGCAUGCAAUCCCAGUGAAGUGGACAAUGCAUGGGAGGGGCUGGAGCUUUCACCAUGAGGCUAUAGGCCCAUCUGGACCAAAUCUUGGAGAAGCUGAAGAAGGAGACGGUAAGAACUGGAGGACUGUGGCCUGGUUGCUGCCAAUGCCCUUGAGGUGAGCCCUGAGAUCAGUGACAUCAUGCACAGUCUGCACGAUGCCCAAAUCCCUGCAGUUACUCAGGGUGUGUAGCUCCUGCUUCCAAAUCUUGUAUGUAUUUCUCUUGUGACCAACCCUUGCUGAACUCAUACAAGGAGCAGAAUUCUUGGAAAUGUAGGUCUAGUUUAGCUAAAUGACAGAGUGGCUCCAGGAAGUGCAAUCAGUGCAAACCCUGCACAGCCAUCCAUAGCAUCCCCUGCAGCAGAGGACUUUGUGACUAGACUUUGGGACUCCAGGACUUUGGGAUCUAGACUUUGGGACUUCAGGAGUUGUAGGCUUUUAACGAUGUGGCAUUACCUUCUUCCAUGUGAGACAGUAUGUCUCAUAUUCAUAUAUCUCUCAAUACCUGCCACAGAAAGUAAGUGCUUACUAAAUAUUUAGUAAAUAAUUCACAUGGAAUUGCAUAAACCUGACCUGGAAGUGACUACAGAGUACAAUUCUUACAUUCUCUCUAUUGACCAGACUGCAACAAAGCCCACAGGUUGGAAAAUAAAUCACCACUUUUGACCAGAGAAAAAUAGAAUGAGCUCUGUGUCAUUGAAACACCUUGCCUUCAGGAGAGCAGAACUAAGUUUCCUAUCUCUAAAUGUAAGCAUUUGUGUUUUAGCAUUUCUAGACCAGCAUCACCUGGAAACUUGUUAAAAAUGAACAUUCUGGAGUUCCCGUCAUGGUGCAGUGGAAACAAAUCCGACUAGGAAUCAUGAGGUUGUGGGUUCGAUCCCUGGCCUCGCUCAGUGGGUUAACGAUCCGGCAUUGCCGUGAGCUGUGGUGUAGGUCGCAGAUGCGGCUUGGAUCUGGCAUUGCUGUGGCUCUGGUGAAGGCUGGCAGCAACAGAUCCAAUUAGAUCCCUAGCCUGAGAACCUCCAUAUGCCAUGGGUGCAGCCCUAAAAGGACAAAAGACAAAAGACAAAAAUAAAUAAAUAAAUAAAUAAACAUUCUCAAAUUUUAGCGCAGAUCCACUGAAUCAUAAAUUCUGGAGUACGGGGCCCAGAAAUCUGUGUUUGGACUAGUGUUCUCACCCCAGGUGAUUUUGAUGCAUGCUGAAGUUUGAGAACCACUGAUCUAGAAAUGCUGAAAUUCCUGGGCAAGUGAAUAAAAAGAGAAGUUGAAGUAUUCCUCUUUUGGUGAAUCUGCACAUUUGGUGAAUAAAAUAAUUGAUAUAAGAAACUAUGGGGCUGAAAUUUAGAUAAUUAAGGAAACUAUGUAAGAGUGGAAAUGGCAGAAAGCAGCCAGGAGAAUCAAGUGCUCUUAGGAACAAGCAUGCCAUGCGGUUGUAAAUAAAAGCAGCAUCACUUGGAAGUAUUGUGGGGGAAAUCCCUUCUAGGGUGGUAUAUGGCAGGACAUUUUCCAGGGAUGCUCUGGACCGCUAAGUUGCCUAUUUUUUUUCUUUAAUUUUUUUUUAUUGAGUAUGGUUGAUUUACAAUGUUGUACCAAUUUCUGCUGUACAUCAAAGUGACCCACUCAUACAUGCAUAUAUACAUUCACCUUCUUACAUUAUUUUCCAUCAUGUUCUAUCCCAAGAGACUGGAUAUAGUUCCUGUGCUAUACAGUAGGACCUUAUUUAAAAACACUGCAAUAAUUUGACCAUCUUUCAAAUGAUCUACACUUGCUUGUAAAUUGCAAACUUCAACCUCGGCACUGGGCUUUUUUAACCAGUUGUGUUUGUUUGUUUGGGGUGUUUUUUUUUUGUUUUUUGUUUUUUUUUUUCCUAUUUCCUAUUAUUGAGAACCUCUGGCUAAACUGAAGAAGUAUAUCAUGAGUUCUCACCCUGUUACUCAGGCACUUUGAUGUAAACUUUCAUGAAAAGGUGACACUGCUGAAUUGUCCUCCCUAGUUCAUGUGUGGUCACAUCUCUCCUCAAGAAUGCCCUAGUCCUUUUGAGGGAAUGUCCGUCCUUGUAGAAUCAACCCUAAACAAGGCCUGGAGUUAACUCGAUUCUGAUUAGGGCUGGAAUUCUCAGCUGCCUUACCUCCAUCUGUCUGCAGCCCCUUCGUAACCUAGUCCUAGCAUCACUAGCUUGAGAUUCCUGCUUCAUUUCUCUUCACAUCCAUGCACAUACCUCUCCAACUCAAUGUAUGACAAUUUAGUAGGAUAAUAUUUUAAAGUGCAAAUCACUGUGGAGGAUUUUUCACCUUUUAUUACCUCCUUGAUCUUCUGGUCUUCUGCCCCUACCAUCAAAGUUGAAGACAUAAUUUUCUGUGGCUUUUCUGUUCCAUCAUGGUAAAUCUCUGGGGGAUCUCAGUAGAUAGGCCCAACAGCUCAAGAAGGAAGACUGGGCUACAGAUAAAAUGCCUUAGUAAAAAAUGUAGAAGGGAAGAAAUAUAUCUUUGGUUGAGGGUUGAAUAUUCAAAAGGGAGAGCAAGGAAGGACGGGGAUACAGCUUCUAUAUAGCUUGAUAGUGAGGAAGGGCUUCAGAAAUAAGAUGGUUUACCAGGCAUGUCUAAGCCAAUGGGAACAGAGGAAGCUUCAAAGAAGGAUGCCAAGGCCCUAAUCCUGAAACAGAUGAAACUGAGAGUUUCCAGAACAGUAAGGUCUUGGCAUAACUCUGUGGAAAAAUGACUCAUGACUAGUCCCAGAGCAUCCUUUCCAAACACCUUGUCUCUGCGUAAAAUUCCAGAAGUGGACCAUGGAAAGCAGCCAAGGUCAAAUUUUCCUCUAAACCUAUGAAAUGGGUUGAUUUAUGGAAAAAGAGAUUGGUGUUUCUUGUAUAACUAACUGUAUAGAAUGAAGCUACUACUUCCUAAGACUUCGCCUUUUCUUCUCACUGUGAUUAUAGCUUUUCAAUGACUUAAUUUUGAUAAAAAAUUGUGCCGUAUAUGGAAGACCUACCAUCUGGAAAUAACUUAAACAUGCUAGCUUGGCUACUUCUAAACGUCAAUUGCCAAAGAAGGGGGAUAAUUGGAGGAGGAGGCAAAUGUAAUCAAAUUCCAGAUUUAGUCACUGUAACUGAGUACAUAAAUUUCAAAUUGGACAGGUACUCUAUCUUUGUUACUAGUAGUGCUUCUGCCGUGGUUCUAACUUGGUAGCUUGUUCUUCUUAGCCUAGUACAUGAGUCAGGUGGGUGUAGACUGCUAUAUACACAGAUUGCAAUAAAGUAUAAUAUUAUAGAUAAACAGAAUUAAGUCCAAUAUAGUGGAAAGAUAGAAGAGGGAGUCAUUCAUUUGUGGAAUGGAGCAGGUAUCAGUCAAAGUCCCAACACAAAGCAGAUGGGGAACUUAGAAUAAUUCUAGGAGAAUAUUUUUAAAAGAAAAGUGUAGGUGUAAAGAAAUACAGGGCAAAGAACCUUCAUCCACGGCAUAGAAGAAGCUGAGCUAUUAUCAUCCAAGGUCCAAAGGACAGGAGAAAGUACCAGGGGAGAAAAUUUUGUGUAGCACCAGAGGCCUUGAAAGGAACAGUGGUCUUCAUUGGAGAUAAGGCCAGACAUGAGAUCACAGGAAGAAUCUGGGGGAAUAUAUCCCAAGACCUCACCCUCUUGCCUUUUCCCUAUCUUCUCCCAGAGGUCCCCACAAAUGAACCCAGCUUGAAGUCACAAAACUUGAGAAUCUAGGUGAUGUAGUCCAUGAACUCGCCUUUCCAGGGAGAGGUAGUGGCAUGAAAGACAGGGUGUAUCUGAAGAAAAGUGGGAUAGAAAUAGUGUCUCCAAGAAGGUGAUACCUCAGCAACAUUUUGAAGGCUCCAUAGGUGUUUGUCAGAUACAUAAUGGAAAGGAUUCACAUAGAUUUACUCUCCAAAUUGACUUUACAUUAAUAAAAUGACAAAUUCUGACAUUGUCUGAACACAUGUCCACCUACUUGAAUAGCAAGGCUGUAAGGGAUAGGCCAGAGCAUCUUCACCUGAGGACACUGACUUUCUUAAGAGAUCAUAUAUUAAUACUGUGUCACCUGUUGUUAUGAAUUGAACUGUGCCCACCCUCUCACAAAGAUGUUGAAUUCUUAACCGCCAGUACUGUGACUGUGACCUUAUUUGGAAAUGAGACUUUUGCAGAUGAUCGAGUAAAGAAUAGGUCCUUAGGGUGGAUCCUAACCCAAUAUAGUCGUGUCCUCAUAAAAAGAGGAAAUUUAAAAAAAAAAGAAUAAAAAAAACUAGAAAAUUCCUAU